rnacentral:rRNA from 1 species
UACGGAGGGUGCAAGCAUUAAUCGGAUUUAUUGGGCGUAAAGGGCGCGUAGGCGGAAAGAUAAGUCAGAUGUGAAAUCCCGGGGCUCAACCCCGGAACAGCAUUUGAAACUGUCAUUCUAGAGGCUAGAUGGAGAAAACGGAAUUCCACAAGUAGCGGUGAAAUGCGUAGAUAUGUGGAAGAACACCGGUGGCGAAGGCGGUUUUCUAAUUUAGACCUGACGCUGAGGCGCGAAAGCAAGGGGAUCAAACAGG